GCCCCGCCUUGCCUCGCCUCGCCUCGCUGCCGGGGCCGGCGCCCAGACCAAACCGUACGGCUCCGCAGCGGCUCACCCGGAGGAACUAAGCAGAGCUGCUUCCGCAGUGACUGAAGUUCCGGGUGUACCGCGGAGCAGGGAUGUUGUCAAGAUCCGGUGGUAAAUUAGGGAAAGUAGUUAAACAUGCUCUUAGCUUUAACCUCAGCACAAUAAAUAAAAUCAAGGAUUACGGAUCUGAAAUCUUUCUAAGUUAAAUAUCGCUUGAAUUAUAGUUUAAUCUAAUGCAGAGCAAAAGGAGUAGAGGAGCCUUGUUGUCACUGCUAGUGACACCUCUCCAGGGUCUUGAGAUGACAACAGUGGAUCACCGCGUUUCAUGUCUGUAGAGGACAGUGGGGAUAAGGACUAGGUUGUGCGCAUGGAUCUUGGUGCCUUUCUGCUUGGUUUCACGAUCAACAAAACAUGCUUAAGCAAUUUUCCAAAGGAGGCACGUGCACUGAACCCUGUGCUGGAUCUCCUCAUCGGUGUUCACUCUCUGAGAGAGAUGGCUAUGGAGGCAUCAUCCUCAUAAUGAUGGAUUAUGGAUCUCAUGUGGGCAUUGCAAGCCUACAGUUGUGUUUAUGUCCUUGAAUACAACAACGCCCCUGCUUCACAAAAAACAUUCAUACAGUUACACAGGGCUGUGUCACUCACAUUAAUGUUAAUGAAAUUUACUGCCCCAUCAUCCAACAGAGAUGGGCAUACUGCAGCAUUUAGCAUUAGUGUCCAAUCUCAUCGCUUAGGUUCAUUGUUCAAAAUGCAGUUACAGCUUCCACUGGUACUAAAUAUUUCACUGAAUUUUUUUAAACCUGAAAAAGAUAAGGAAUUGUCUUUAUAUGUAGCCAGAUUUGGAUAGAAUUAUAUGCGUGUGUGUGUCGCUUAGCAUAAAGAUAAAAUAAUAGGUGUGAUAAUACUAAUUAAAAGUCCAUGAGUAAGUUAAGUACUUAUAAGACCUUAACUAAUGGUUUGUACUAAUGUAAACCACUGUGUUGCCCUAAGAAUUUUGAAGGCUAAAAAAAUAAACCAUUAUGAAAGACUUGGUAUGGGUUGGGGCAUUCAGGGUCUUUGAUAAUAAAUAAUCUAGACCUUUGUGUUUGAAUACUGAAGGGAGCUUCAGCUAAUGCCACAGCUUGCUUGCCAAACUCACUGUGCACUUGUCAGCAAUCAAACUACCCUGGAUAACAUUUAACAAAUGUCAGUGCUGUCCUGAUUCAAAACAAAGGCGAUAUUCAUUUGGGGCUGGCAUGGUUACCUGCUAAACAACGUGGACAAUGUUAUUUCUCCAAAAUUGUUAUUUCUUCACUAUAAUCAUAGGACAGUUACCAUGCAACCUGUGGUGAUAAUAUCAUAUCUAGUCUCAAAAUAUGCGUUGAAAGAAUGCAGCAACUUGUAAGGAGCAUCUCAACUAAUAUUUAUAAUCUCUUAGGUCAGGACAUUAGAUAUAGGUCAUGUUUUCCUUGUCCUUUGUUUUGUUGUUUCCUUCAUGUAAGGAACAUCAUAUAACCACAUCAGUAAGAAGAUUAGAGCUGAGACUGAUGCACCUUCCUUCACUCACUCUGCUGUGUCUGGGAACUGCAGAAUUCAACGACAUGUCUGGGACCUUAUGAGCUACGGUGCUUAGGCAAAACAAGAUGGACUGAGGAUAGGCUAUCAGUCUUUGUAGAUAUGGCUUCCCUAAGUUUUGUCAGUGUCACAAAUUGUUCAUUCUUACAUACAAAAUAACUAUCUCCCUUCUGUAUAAAAUACUACAGUAUUUUACUAUAGUCACCUCAAACACUUCAGUAUCUGAAUAAAGAAAUAUCAAAAGAUAUAAUUUUUGGACCAUU